UACGAAGGGUCCAAGCGUUAUCCGGAUUUAUUGGGUUUAAAGGGUGCGUAGGCGGCUUAUUAAGUCAGUGGUGAAAGCCUGUAGCUUAACUACAGAACUGCCAUUGAUACUGAUGAGCUUGAAUAUACUUGAGGUUGGCGGAAUGUGUCAUGUAGCGGUGAAAUGCUUAGAUAUGACACAGAACACCGAUUGCGAAGGCAGCUAGCUAAAGUACAAUUGACGCUGAUGCACGAAAGCGUGGGGAGCAAACAGG
rnacentral:rRNA from 1 species